GCUGAUAAGAAAUUUCUAGAAUGGAGGAGAGGAUUUGUGGAAAAAUUGGAUGGGAUUGAGUUGAAUUUGGAAGGUACGAAGUUUAAGUUGAAUGUAGCUGUGCCGGUGUCUGAUGAUUUUGAAGGAAUGAAGAAGGAAUGGGAAGAGAUUAUUGCUUUUGGUGCUCGUGGAUAUCAGAGGAGUGGAAGGAUGCAACCAGAUACAAUCGUGUUGAAAGGUAUGCCAUCAAGAUGGUUCGCAGAGACGAGGGUCUCAUCUAAGCCCUCUAUGCUGGUUACUCACACAAUUGUUUCCGCGAUUGGAAAGAUAAGGAAUCUUCAUGUAGCUGAGGACAAUAGUGUAGGUGACGAU
rnacentral:misc_RNA from 1 species